AGAGUUUGAUCCUGGCUCAGAUUGAACGCUGGCGGCAUGCUUUACACAUGCAAGUCGAACGGUAACAGGGAGCUUGCUCCGCUGACGAGUGGCGAACGGGUGAGUAAUGCAUCGGAACGUACCGUGUAAUGGGGGAUAACGUAGCGAAAGUUACGCUAAUACCGCAUACGCCCUGAGGGGGAAAGUGGGGGACCGCAAGGCCUCACGUUAUACGAGCGGCCGAUGUCGGAUUAGCUAGUUGGUGGGGUAAAGGCCUACCAAGGCGACGAUCCGUAGCGGGUCUGAGAGGAUGAUCCGCCACACUGGGACUGAGACACGGCCCAGACUCCUGCGGGAGGCAGCAGUGGGGAAUUUUGGACAAUGGGGGCAACCCUGAUCCAGCCAUGCCGCGUGAGUGAAGAAGGCCUUCGGGUUGUAAAGCUCUUUCAGGUGGAAAGAAAUCUCCCGGGUGAAUACCCCGGGAGGAUGACGGUACCUGAAGAAUAAGCACCGGCUAACUACGUGCCAGCAGCCGCGGUAAUACGUAGGGUGCAAGCGUUAAUCGGAAUUACUGGGCGUAAAGCGUGCGCAGGCGGUUCCAUAAGACAGAUGUGAAAUCCCCGGGCUCAACCUGGGAACUGCAUUUGUGACUGUGGAGCUAGAGUACGGUAGAGGGGGAUGGAAUUCCGCGUGUAGCAGUGAAAUGCGUAGAUAUGCGGAGGAACACCAAUGGCGAAGGCAAUCCCCUGGACCUGUACUGACGCUCAUGCACGAAAGCGUGGGGAGCAAACAGGAUUAGAUACCCCGGUAGU
rnacentral:rRNA from 1 species